rnacentral:rRNA from 1 species
ANCGGGGAGACNNCAGGGAUUGCCUCAGUAACGGCGAGUGAAGCGGCAUAAGCUCAAAUUUGAAAUCUGGCUCUUUCAGGGUCCGAGUUGUAAUUUGUAGAAGAUGCUUCGGGUGUGGUCCCGGUCUAAGUUCCUUGGAACAGGACGUCAUAGAGGGUGAGAAUCCCGUAUGUGACUGGGUGCCUAUGCUCAUGUGAAGCUCUUUCGACGAGUCGAGUUGUUUGGGAAUGCAGCUCAAAAUGGGUGGUAUAUUUCAUCUAAAGCUAAAUAUUGGCCAGAGACCGAUAGCGCACAAGUAGAGUGAUCGAAAGAUGAAAAGCACUUUGGAAAGAGAGUUAAACAGUACGUGAAAUUGUUGAAAGGGAAGCGCUUGCAAUCAGACUUGCGCCUGGUUGAUCAUCCGGGGUUCUCUCCGGUGCACUCGAUCAGGCUCAGGCCAGCAUCGGUUUGGGUGGUUGGAUAAAGGCCUUGGGAAUGUGGCCCCUCUUGGGGGGUGUUAUAGCCCUCGGUGCCAUGCAGCCUACCUGGACCGAGGACCGCGCUUCGGCUAGGAUGCUGGCGUAAUGGUUGUAAGCGACCCGUCUUGAAACACGGACCAAGGAGUCUAACAUCUAUGCGAGUGNGGGGGGGGGAAA